rnacentral:rRNA from 1 species
AUUGAACGCUGGCGGUAGGCCUAACACAUGCAAGUCGAACGAGUGGCGGACGGGUGAGUAAUGUCUGGGAAACUGCCCGUUGGAGGGGGAUAACUACUGGAAACGGUAGCUAAUACCACAUACCAUCGGAUGUGCCCAGAUGGGAUUAUCUAGUAGGUGGGGUAACGGCUCACCUAGGCGACGAGCCCUAGCUGGUCUGAGAGGACGACCAGCCACACUGGAACUGCGACACGGUCCAGACUCCUACGUGAGGAAGCAGUGGGAAAUAUUGCACAAUGGGCGAAAGCCUGAUGCAGCCAUGCCGCGUGUAGGAAGAAGGCCUUCGGGUUGUAAAGUACUUUCAGCGAGGAGGCGUUGCUCGCAGAAGAAGCACCGGCUAACUACGAGCCAGCAGCCGCGGUAAUUC